GUUCUAUAAUUCAUUAAUUUUGUUCCAGCAACUAGCCACACCUCGUUCAGACGAGUGGAGCCGUUUCCAACGUACUUUAUAUGAUUUGGAAAGCAGCCAAAGCAGUAAUCAAACAGUGGAUGUAGCACCACCACUUGCAAGACAUAUUUCUCCUUUGAAAGUUGCUCAUUGAUCUGUGCUUCAAAAACGAACUGUAGGUAAUUAUUAUAUUAUAUAGGAAUAUUUUUUUGUAAUGUAGAAUUGCAUUCGACGGAUGUUGGUGGGUAUGAAAGUAAAGCCUGGUUUACACUAUCAAAGUUUCUGUGAUCACUGUAGGAAUUUUGCAGAGGUAAAUUCUACGUUUUGGAGGAUUUGUAAGAAAUGUUUGAGGGAACUGACUCGGUGUUAAACACUCAAUCAGUUCCCUCAAACAUUUCUUACAAAUCCUUCAAAACUUAGAAUUUACUUAUAUGCAAAAUUCCUACUGUGA